rnacentral:rRNA from 1 species
UUGGGGGCUCUCCCAUAUGGUCGACCUGCAGGCGGCCGCGAAUUCACUAGUGAUUAGAGUUUGAGCGGGGGUCAGAUUGAACGCUGGCGGCAUGCCUAACACAUGCAAGUCGAACGGCAGCACAGUAAAGAUUUCGGUCUUUAUGGGGUGGCGAUUGGGGGACGGGUGAGUAACACGUAGGAAUCUGUCCUGGAGCGUGGGAUAACCCGAGGAAACUCGGGCUAAUACCACAUGAUAUCGAGAGAUCAAAAGCAGGGGACCGAAAGGCCUUGCGCUCUGGGGUGAGCCUACGUCGGAUUAGCUAGUUGGUGGGGUAAAAGCCUACCAAGGCGACGAUCCGUAGCUGGUCUGAGAGGAUGACCAGCCACACUGGGACUGAGACACGGCCCAGACUCCUACGGGAGGCAGCAGUGGGGAAUCUUGGACAAUGGGGGAAACCCUGAUCCAGCGAUGC